rnacentral:rRNA from 1 species
UUUAUGGAGAGUUUGAUCCUGGCUCAGGAUGAACGCUGGCGGCGUGCCUAAUACAUGCAAGUCGAGCGAACGGACGAGAAGCUUGCUUCUCUGAUGUUAGCGGCGGACGGGUGAGUAACACGUGGAUAACCUACCUAUAAGACUGGGAUAACUUCGGGAAACCGGAGCUAAUACCGGAUAAUAUUUUGAACCGCAUGGUUCAAAAGUGAAAGACGGUCUUGCUGUCACUUAUAGAUGGAUCCGCGCUGCAUUAGCUAGUUGGUAAGGUAACGGCUUACCAAGGCAACGAUGCAUAGCCGACCUGAGAGGGUGAUCGGCCACACUGGAACUGAGACACGGUCCAGACUCCUACGGGAGGCAGCAGUAGGGAAUCUUCCGCAAUGGGCGAAAGCCUGACGGAGCAACGCCGCGUGAGUGAUGAAGGUCUUCGGAUCGUAAAACUCUGUUAUUAGGGAAGAACAUAUGUGUAAGUAACUGUGCACAUCUUGACGGUACCUAAUCAGAAAGCCACGGCUAACUACGUGCCAGCAGCCGCGGUAAUACGUAGGUGGCAAGCGUUAUCCGGAAUUAUUGGGCGUAAAGCGCGCGUAGGCGGUUUUUUAAGUCUGAUGUGAAAGCCCACGGCUCAACCGUGGAGGGUCAUUGGAAACUGGAAAACUUGAGUGCAGAAGAGGAAAGUGGAAUUCCAUGUGUAGCGGUGAAAUGCGCAGAGAUAUGGAGGAACACCAGUGGCGAAGGCGACUUUCUGGUCUGUAACUGACGCUGAUGUGCGAAAGCGUGGGGAUCAAACAGGAUUAGAUACCCUGGUAGUCCACGCCGUAAACGAUGAGUGCUAAGUGUUAGGGGGUUUCCGCCCCUUAGUGCUGCAGCUAACGCAUUAAGCACUCCGCCUGGGGAGUACGACCGCAAGGUUGAAACUCAAAGGAAUUGACGGGGACCCGCACAAGCGGUGGAGCAUGUGGUUUAAUUCGAAGCAACGCGAAGAACCUUACCAAAUCUUGACAUCCUUUGACAACUCUAGAGAUAGAGCCUUCCCCUUCGGGGGACAAAGUGACAGGUGGUGCAUGGUUGUCGUCAGCUCGUGUCGUGAGAUGUUGGGUUAAGUCCCGCAACGAGCGCAACCCUUAAGCUUAG